rnacentral:rRNA from 1 species
UACGUAGGGUGCAAGCGUUGUCCGGAAUUAUUGGGCGUAAAGAGCUCGUAGGCGGCUUGUCACGUCGGUUGUGAAAGCCCGGGGCUUAACCCCGGGUCUGCAGUCGAUACGGGCAGGCUAGAGUGUGGUAGGGGAGAGCGGAAUUCCUGGUGUAGCGGUGAAAUGCGUAGAUACCAGGAGGAACACCGGUGGCGAAGGCGGUUUCCUGGCCCAGUACUGACGCUGAGGCACGAAAGCGUGGGGAGCGAACGGG